GGGAACGCAGAGCAGGAAUGCGUGGCAGGAAAGAAUCUCCCAGGGAUUCACAGUUCACCCCUAAGUCAAUCCGUGGGGCCUGAGGGGCAAAGUGUCUGAGUGACCCAGCCCUCAGUCUUGUGUCCGUUCCUGAGAAGGAGGUCAGCCUUACCCCUCAGGAGCUGCAUGUACCAAAUGGAGCCUCGGAGCCGGCCCAGCAGCUCUCCUCACUGGAGGGGUGGACGGGAUGGGACCAGCUGCUCAUUCCACGCUGGAGGUGAGGCCAGGAGUCUCAGCUGGAUGCAGUCACCUGACUUGGAGAGUUCAAAGUCCCUAACACAGGAAGGUCCUGAAGGGGAUGGCCUGGGAUGGGCUAGGACUUGGUUCCCACCUCAGGAGGCCUCUGGCCAUGGAAGUGCUAAGGGACUCUGGUACCCACAAGCCUGGAUCCUGGCGUGCUCUGCUGCUUUCCUUCAAGCCCUGGCCUCAUCAGACCUCCAAGGCUCCCUAGACAGGGUUAAUUAUUCACGUGGCCUGGGACCCAGGGUUCAUUUGUUUGUUUUUCCCUGACACAGUAGGUCCACGAGGAAGUCAGGAUCCACUGGCAAUGUUUGCAGUGCUGUGUUGAGUGUGGCAACUGGCUGCGUGACGAUAGAGAAGUAAACAGCAUGUCCGGUGGCAGUCGGUUAC
rnacentral:lncRNA from 1 species